AGGCAGUGAUGACUGAAAAGUAUACCAUCAAACUAUGAGAGCUUUGCCUCAUUGACGUAAUAAUAUGUUUCUAUCGUCCGAGCCU